UGCGGGCAAUGUUUACAAAUCUUCCGUGACAAAAAAAAUUAUAAGUUGAAAGUGUUUGCUAGUAAAGCAAGAUACGAAAUAGUAUUUUUCUAGUAAUAAUGUCCUGAAAGUGCAUCGCAUACAAGUGUAAUUCAACGCAUAAAACUAAGGGGGUGCAUUUUCUUUCGAUUCCCAAGCGUGAGAAGCGGUAAAGUGAUGGAGCGUUCGAAGCAAAGACUCCAUGAAUGGCUGAAUGCUCUUGGAUUCCGGGACAGUUCCAACCCGAAGAACAAAUAUAUAUGUGGCCUGCACUUUAUUUCCAGUAAAGCUGCCUGCCUUUCUGACGCAAGAAAUGUGGAUUGGAUUCCUUCAAUUAACAUCGUCAAGAUGAAUUCAGAAGAAUCUACUAAUAGCAACUAGCAAGUCGUUGCUGACUACUAGCCGAUUCUGUAGUGAUAAACAGUCCAAGCUUCGAAUUCUUUGAGGGACCUCUUCUGGAUGCUUCCCAAUUGAACUCCACGGUAUUACCACCGAAUCUAUCAGCGAAUAAUGUUUCUACAGCUCAUGAUUGCUCCGUGCUUCUCCAUCAAGCUGACAAUGUCACAGCCGAGUCUAUUGGAGUUGGUCGAUUAAUUGUCGAUCAGAAUGACUAUGAAUCAUUUGCGAGAGAUUUGUUGGAAGAAGCUUUCUACUGAAUUGCUACUGAAUUGCUCAACUAAUUCAAAUGCGUCAUUUUUCAUUUUUAUGAACGAAUUUGGAAGGUAAGCAAGUUUUUCCAAACCUAAUUGAUCAUUCAAAGAACUUUUAGUAUCCAAUCGAUAAGGGCAUCUGAUUUCAACCACGAAUUUUCAGCAGCAUUGGCAA